GCAAACUUGGUCAUUUAGAGGAAGUAAAAGUCGUAACAAGGUCUCCGUUGGUGAACCAGCGGAGGGAUCAUUAAAGAGUCUAAACAACUCCCAAACCCAUGUGAAUAUACCAUUUGUUGCCUCGGCAGGUCGCGCCUACCUAGUAGCACCCUACCCUGUAGGGCCUACCCGGAAGACGCGGAUGACCUGUCGGUGGCCCACGAAACUCUGUCUAGUAUUAAAUUCUGAAUCUAUAACUAAAUAAGUUAAAACUUUCAACAACGGAUCUCUUGGUUCUGGCAUCGAUGAAGAACGCAGC
rnacentral:misc_RNA from 1 species